rnacentral:rRNA from 1 species
AUUGAACGCUGGCGGCAUGCCUUACACAUGCAAGUCGAACGGUAACGCGGGGCAACCUGGCGACGAGUGGCGAACGGGUGAGUAAUGUAUCGGAACGUGCCCAGUUGUGGGGGAUAACUGCUCGAAAGAGCAGCUAAUACCGCAUACGACCUGAGGGUGAAAGCGGGGGAUCGCAAGACCUCGCGCAAUUGGAGCGGCCGAUAUCAGAUUAGGUAGUUGGUGGGGUAAAGGCGCACCAAGCCAACGAUCUGUAGCUGGUCUGAGAGGAUUACCAGCCACACUGGGACUGAGACACGGCCCAGACUCCUACGGGAGGCAGCAGUGGGGAAUUUUGGACAAUGGACGCAAGUCUGAUCCAGCCAUGCCGCGUGCGGGAAGAAGGCCUUCGGGUUGUAAACCGCUUUUGUCAGGGAAGAAACGCUCUGGGUUAAUACCUCGGGGUAAUGACGGUACCUGAAGAAUAAGCACCGGCUAACUACGUGCCAGCCGCCGCGGUAAAAC